AAAUGAAUCUGCAGUUUAUCAGAUGGAUCUAUAUGAUAAUGAUGGUAAAAGCAUCAAGAAAAUCAACAUCAGUCUCCAGAUUACAGCUCCAGUUUCACAACCUGCCAUAUUUCAGAAAUGUUUGUCACCAGAGCAGAGGACAGUCAGCUGCUCAGCAGAGGGAGACGACACACAGUUCUCUUUUUCUCUGGACAAUAAUCUGUUACUACACACUUAACCUGCUAGUGGAUAUAAUGGAAAUGUCACCAUCAGUUUAAAUGGUCAACUGGAAGGAAACCUGGAGUGUAAAGUUCAGAACAAAAUCAGCAGUAAACAGAUCAUUGUCCGUCUCUCACGUUGUGAAGAGUCACAUUGUCAAGCUGUGAUCGUCUUAGCAAGUGCAACCGUUCUACUUCUUCUUUUG